GACGAACGCUGGCGGCGUGCUUAACACAUGCAAGUCGAACGGUAAGGCCCUUCGGGGUACACGAGUGGCGAACGGGUGAGUAACACGUGGGUGAUCUGCCCUGCACUUCGGGAUAAGCCUGGGAAACUGGGUCUAAUACCGGAUAGGACCCUGGGAUGCAUGUCCUGGUGGUGGAAAGCUUUUGCGGUGUGGGAUGGGCCCGCGGCCUAUCAGCUUGUUGGUGGGGUGAUGGCCUACCAAGGCGCCGACGGGUAGCCGGCCUGAGAGGGUGACGGGCCACGAUGGGACUGAGAGAAGGCCCGUGCUCCUACGGGAGGCAGCAGUGGGGAAUAUUGCACAAUGGGCGCAAGCCUGAUGCAGCGACGCCGCGUGAGGGAUGACGGCCUUCGGGUUGUAAACCUCUUUCAGCUAUGACGAAGCGCAAGUGACGGUAGUAGCAGAAGAAGGACCGGCCAACUACGUGCCAGCCGCCGCCGUAA
rnacentral:rRNA from 1 species